GAGACAGGUGAUCAUAACUAUAGGGCCAUUCUUCAGAUGGUCUUGAACACAAGGCAUGAUAUAAAGUUGUGACUUAAAUGUCACACAGUCACCUGGAGGGUAGACCGAACAUAUCCAAAAAAGGGCCAGAAUUGUUUUUUUCAAGGUAUCUUAACAUGUGUGGUAGUUGUAAUUGUUAUCAUAGCUACAAGUAUGAAUGAGUUCUCCCAGAGUUUGAAACCAAAAUGUACAACUACAAUGACCUGUACAUCACAAUGAAUCACGUAAAAGAAAGGAUUAAAGAUUAUUUUGACAGACCUAAAAUAAUGCCUGUGUAUUAUCCUUCUAAGGUGGACUUCAGAUAUCAACACAAUACGAGUCUUCGCAAUGCAAACGCGGCAGGCAGAAGAAACCAGAUUACAAACUGCCCUGCUAAGAUGACUGUGACACUCCUACGCACUCAAUUGAGCAGAGGCAGGCAGAGUCUAAGCAAGGACCCUGAUGUUCUGUGCCUUUCUUCCCCACAAUCGUGUCAAUCUGCAAUGACCACAAUCAUAACAUCUAUAUAGAUGUUAUGGUUACAUAUGUGGCAUCUGCACUCAGCCAACGUGAUGGGGAUGACAGUAAAAGAAUAAAAGACAAUCCGUCAAAGAUCACGACAGUCUUACAUAUGUUUGGCUGCUCAAAAAACACCAGCUUGGCAUCUGUUAAGAUCUGGAGCCAUCCGUAGGGCAGCAAAGCAUGUUGGUCCUGCUAUUCAUGCACAGCCAACAGCAGUGGUGAGACGUGCUGCCAAGGUAACAACAGGACCUGGCCACGUUUACAGCCAGCCAGUCAAGAGGGUCUGAACACAAGCUCCCUAUUAUCCGGCACACUCUGGGUCGGAGCGCAAAAGCCACCCGAAAUGAAAAAAUGAACGGCCGAUCUGUCAUCUUUCAAACACACACACACACACACACACACACACACACACACACACACACAUUUUAGCUGUCCUCUGUAUUAGGCUUCUUUAUUAAACACUUUUAGUGUG